GCAUUUGGAAAAAGCGUUACAAUAGCAUUUACAUAUCGAAAUUUAUAAGCAUUUUGAUAUAAUUUCUUAUUUAUUUUGAUCCAGUUUAAUUGAAUUUGGUUUUGUUCUUAAAUGUAAAUGUAAUUAGUUUGAAGAAUAAGCUUUGUUUAUUUAGGAACUCUUGGAUCAACAGUUGGAGAUUCCCAUUUUGCCUCUGUUAUAUGGUUUACUUUCGGUGAUUUACAAAUGUUCAACUAUUAAAAGCGGAUAAAUUACGAAGAUGGAUCUCAAAUGAUUAAUAUACAAGAAAUUGAGUGGGAAACGAUUUUACAAAGUAUAUCAAUGGAGUGACAAGAGUGCAAGUCGACUCAUUUGGAGGCAGCCUUGCUUGUGAUUUUUGGACAACGCACAUUGAGAUGUUUUGAUUAUGUUUGUACAGAGUAAAGCGAAGGAAGACACAAUUUGAUUAAAGGAGCGAGAUGGAAGGUGGUAAUAGAGGAGGUAAAAAGGAGGAAGAGAAGGAGGAAGGUGAAAGGUCAUAUGGUAAUGCAUGUCAAUGUAUAAGCUGAUCUUGCCUAAGUGAAAUUAAUUCUUGGACUCUCUUACAACACUGUUGAAGCUUCAAACCUCUGUUGACAUUCACUUUAACGGUCACCGUCGUCAAAGGUCAUGAAGAUGAUCAUUACUACUGGUAACAUCGACAUUAUAUCAUCUUAUAUCCGGUGCCACCUGUCAACGCAAUUUAUACCAAUGGAAUGAGAGGAAAUGCUGAAAGUCUAAUGUAAAGUUGAAUAAUAAUGCAAUGACCAUUGAUUUUAAGCUUUUUUUGUCCUCCAAGUAAAAGGUUUUUUUUGCUUUAAAUACAAUUGAACUGUCAACGCAUUAUUACUAUUUAUAAUACUGACAAAAUGUAUUGACCUUUUACCUAACAUUGUGACCACCAAUGGUCACUUGGAUCCAUUAAAGUCCAUUUAAAGGAGUUGAAA